rnacentral:lncRNA from 1 species
CACAGCAGCACUGGGAACGGAGCUGCCUCUCAUUGCCCUUGGCACUGGGAUGCCAGGUGGCUUCUCGGCACGCGCUAAGAGUGAGUGAGGGGUCUAACCCUCCCCACCAGUCGCUCUUGAAUGCAGGACAGCUAUGGAAACUAACUUGUUCAGAGCGACAAUUAUGGUGCAUUCGAAAUCUUCAUCGGCACUGGCAAAGGAAGCAAAAAAAUGUCUUUGAGUGUUUGUAAGGCAGGCAACAUGGAAAGCAGAUUCAGGACUAAAAGGCAUUGUGAAAGCAAAUAAGUUAAUAUUUCUAUGAAAUGUGUUAGAGGUCUGUGGUGACCAGCAUCUAUUGGACUUCACCGGGACUCUGCUCAGGGCCCGGGGCUCGGCGUGGACAAUGACAACAACAGAGCACAGGACUGGCCUUCCAGGGCUCGACACCCAGCAUAGACCUAGCCUGAAGUCAAGUCUCUCCAGGCUGCUUACAGGGACAGGGGCUCUCGAGGUUCUAGCCAACAGGAUCUGAAAGAGCACAUCAAGGUCCACUUAAGAGUGGGUGGUAAUCAUGACUUACAAUCAAUCACUAAUAGCCAAUGAAUCCCAGAGGGAGCGUCUUUGCUCAAAGCUAGAUGAGAGGACAUGACUUUGGACAGAGACAAUGUGGGGUCCUCUCCUUCCUGUCCUGGCUGUGUCUUUGUGGACUUCCAUGCUCCAUUGGGCUACAGAGAGAGAUGUCUGGGCUCACAGGGGAGGUCUGAGUCCAACCAGGCCACUCACGCACUUGGCCUUGGGAAUGCCUGUGGCCGCCAUCCAGAUGAGCUCUGCAUCCCUCUGCUCACACCCUGGAGACCCAGGCAGAGAGAGGGGACGGUUGCUCCUAAUGCCAGCACGAGGCAGGAGAUCCCUGCUGUUGGAUUCUUUAAGAUCCCUGCCCUUGGAUUCCUGCAGAUCCAACUCCUCCACGUCUUUCUUC